rnacentral:rRNA from 1 species
UAAGACGAACCGUACAAACGUUAUUCGGAAUCACUGGGCUUAAAGGGUGCGUAGGCGGCGCUGUAAGUUGGGUGUGAAAUCCCUCGGCUCAACCGAGGAACUGCGCCCAAAACUACAGUGCUUGAGGGAGAUAGAGGUGAGCGGAACUUAGGGUGGAGCGGUGAAAUGCGUUGAUAUCCUAAGGAACGCCAGGGGCGAAAGCGGCUCACUGGGUCUCUUCUGACGCUGAGGCACGAAAGCUAGGGUAGCGAACGGGAUUAGAUACCCCGGUAGUCCUAGCCGUAAACGAUGAGCACUAGAUGGAAGGGUCCUCCAUAACCUUUCCAUCGAAGCGAAAGUAAUUAGUGCUCCGCCUGGGGAGUAUGGUCGCAAGGCUG